UGGGGCAGCAGGUUUGUAGCAAUACAGAUGCUGGCGACCGGCAAACGGGUGCGGAACACGUACGCAACCUCCCUCUAACUGGAAGAUAGCCCACCGAAAGGUGGAUUAAUACUCCAUAACAUAUUGAAGUGGCAUCACUUUAAUAUUAAAGCUCCGGCGGUAAGAGAUGGGCGUGCGUCUGAUUAGGUAGUUGGCGGGGUAACGGCCCACCAAGCCUGCGAUCAGUAGCUGAUGUGAGAGCAUGAUCAGCCACACGGGCACUGAGACACGGGCCCGACUCCUACGGGAGGCAGCAGUAAGGAAUAUUGGUCAAUGGACGCAAGUCUGAACCAGCCAUGCCGCGUGGAGGAUGAAGGUCCUCUGGAUUGUAAACUUCUUUUCUCUGGGACGAAACCCCCGAUUUCCAUCGGGCCUGACGGUACCAGAGGAAUAAGCACCGGCUAACUCCGUGCCAGCAGCCGCGGUAAUACGGAGGGUGCAAGCGUUAUCCGGAUUCACUGGGUUUAAAGGGUGCGUAGGCGGGUUUGUAAGUCAGUGGUGAAAUCCCCGAGCUUAACUUGGGAACUGCCAUUGAUACUGCAAGUCUUGAAUUUUCUGGAGGUAAGCGGAAUAUGUCAUGUAGCGGUGAAAUGCUUAGAUAUGACAUAGAACACCCAUUGCGAAGGCAGCUUACUACGGGAAUAUUGACGCUGAGGCACGAAAGCGUGGGGAUCAAACAGGAUUAGAUACCCUGGUAGUCCACGCCCUAAACGAUGAUUACUCGACAUUAGCGAUAUUACAGUUAGUGUCUAAGCGAAAGCAUUAAGUAAUCCACCUGGGAAAGUACGACCGCAAGGUUGAAACUCAAAAGGAAUUGGCGGGGGGUCCGCACAAGUGGUGGAGCAUGUGGUUUAAUUCGAU
rnacentral:rRNA from 1 species